UACGGGGGGGGCAAGCGUUGUUCGGAAUUACUGGGCGUAAAGGGCUCGUAGGUGGCCAACUAAGUCGGACGUGAAAUCCCUCGGCUUAACCGGGGAACUGCGUCCGAUACUGGAUGGCUUGAGUUUGGGAGAGGGAUGCGGAAUUCCAGGUGUAGCGGUGAAAUGCGCAGAUAUCAGGAAGAACACCCGUGGCGAAGGCGGCUCUCUGGGACGGUACUGACGCUGAGACGCGAAAGCGUGGGGAGCGAACAGG
rnacentral:rRNA from 1 species